GUGUGAUGGUGCCAGGGCAGCUGAGAGCAAGGACUGAAUCUGAAGCUAGCUUCCAGUAUGGCAUGGACGCGCUUGCUGUGGAUGCUCUUGGUUUCCACUUCUCUUGGAGCCAGCAUGGCUCAGACAGUCUCUCAGCCUCAGCAGGAAAAGUCUGUGCAGGAGACAGAGUCCAUAACCCUGGACUGCACCUAUGACACGAGUGACACUAAUUACUACUUAUUCUGGUACAAACAGCAAGGAGGACGGGUGACUCUCGUUAUUCGACAAGAAGCUUACAAGCAACAUAAUGCAACAGAGAAUCGCUUCUCUGUGAACUUCCAGAAAGCAGCUAAGUCCUUCAGCCUUGAGAUCUCAGACUCGCAGCUGGGGGAUGCUGCGAUAUAUUUCUGUGCACUCAUGGAGCGCCACAGUGAUACAGGCAACAGAGACGGGCUAACAGAAACCUCAGAUCUCAGCAUCUGUGCAAAAUGGCAGGAAGUGGCUGGGGUACCAGCGGCAUACAAAAAAAGACUUUCUUUUCUCUAGAGGAAAAAGUACUCAUAUGCAACUGUAGGAAACACGGAUAUAAUUCUAUAAACUUAAGUUCUCAAAACAAUAAUAAA